UACGUAGGGGGCAAGCGCUGUCCGGAAUCAUUGGGCGUAAAGCGCGUGUAGGCGGCUUGAUAAGUCCGGUGUGAAAUCUUGGGGCUCAACCCCAAGCCUGCGUCGGAUACUGUCUCGCUAGAGUUCGGGAGGGGAGAGCGGAAUUCCUAGUGUAGCGGUGAAAUGCGCAGAUAUUAGGAAGAACACCGGCGGCGAAGGCGGCUCUCUGGAACGAUACUGACGCUGAGACGCGAAAGCGUGGGGAGCGAACAGG
rnacentral:rRNA from 1 species